UUCGUAGGUGGCCAACUAAGUCAGACGUGAAAUCCCUCAGCUUAACUGGGGAACUGCGUCUGAUACUGGUUGGCUUGAGUGCAGGAGAGGAACGCGGAAUUCCAGGUGUAGCGGUGAAAUGCGUAGAUAUCUGGAGGAACACCGGUGGCGAAGGCGGCGUUCUGGACUGCAACUGACACUGAGGAACGAAAGCCAGGGGAGCAAACGGGAUUAGAUACCCCGGUAGUCCUGGCCCUAAACGAUGAAUGCUUGGUGUGGCGGGUAUCGAUCCCUGCCGUGCCGAAGUUAACGCGAUAAGCAUUCCGCCUGGGGAGUACGGUCGCAAGGCUGAA
rnacentral:rRNA from 1 species